ACUUCUCGGGCUUCCAGUCCCACCGGCCGCCCCGCGGCGCCGCCGCCUGCGCCCUCAGCGAGGCCGACCUCAUCGAGUUCCCCUGCGAGCGCUUCAUGGACAGCGGCGGCGGCCGGCACGGGGACGAGCACCUGCUGCAGCGCUUCGCCGACUGAGGGCCCCGGAGGCCCGGCGGGGGAAGGCGGCCCUCGGCCUGCGGGGCCACGGUGCGGGCCCAGGGGUCGCGGCCUCUGAGGCGCUGCUUUCAGCCGCCCGUAGUGCGGGCCGGGGCUGAGGCUGCCCGUAGCACGGGGUUACCUCUGCCGGGACCUCGCCGUUUUGUCAGGAAUCAUCACUAACCCAAGGAAAAGCCCCGACAGGUGGUUUCCUCCGACUGCAAGUUGGGAACAAGUUACAGCGAGCGGCCUGGUCCUGUGUGAGGAGUUUUGAACAGGUCUUUCCAAGGCCCCAGCCCUUCCUAAUCAAAAAAUUUGGAUCGAGGGCCAUCUUUUAAUUGAACUGUGUGCAACUGAGGGCUGGAAAUGUAGGGAGUUUUGCUGAAUAGUUUGAAGGCUGUGCCGUUUCAACUCAAACCGAAUGUGAGGCAAUUUAAUGUGCACAAGUGUGCUUUUAUACUUUUCUGUAAACGAGAAACAGUAAUGCAGCUGGUUAGUUCUACAGGAAUAUAUUGCUGACACCACUAAGAAAAAACUAACAUAUUUUUUGUAGAAUGUUUACAAAUGAGCUAUUUUUAAACUUUUUUUGAAUAAAUACUGUUUGGUACUUGUACACAUUAA